GGGGCGGGUUCCGCCCGCCAGUGGCUGCACUGCUGGUCUUCAUCGCCGCUCCUGUCAGAUCCAGCAGGACCUAUCCUAUCGGUUCUCCAUCGCUUCACUCUGCUUCAUCUGCAUAUCUGCGGAGAAGAUGACGACCCUGCCCCUGUUCUUCGCCAGCCACACUCUCCCUUGUGCGGUUGGGGAGAAGUAGAGAAGUAUUGUACUGCUUGGAGAAAGAUAUGAGAAAUCAGCAGGCAUGAACUCGACUGGUAUACAGGCUCAUCUUAAAGAAAAGGUUGGCAGAAGGUACUUUGGAGGUCCGCAACAUGUACGGGGCUGCUCUGGUGCCUGCAGCUUGCCGCGGAAAAGGACAAUUGCGCCUGCUCCGUCCCCUACAACAGGGUCUCAAUUCUUCAAUGGGUGACUGAAUGAGACCACGGCCAGUCUCACUGCGACGUGUACUCCACCUACAUCGACGUGUACUCCACCAAGUAUAGGCUCAUUAGUCGGGCCAAGAAGCUCGGUAAACAUUUGAUGUAACCUCACCAAAGAGAGUUAGCUACAUGCUGCGAUGAAGUUUGGAAGUCAAUGUCAGGUGCUAAAAUUUGCAGGCCGGGCAUCAAACUGGUAAUGUUCAGUCUGCAGUCUGCAGUCUGCACUCGACACUAUUACCGUGCAUCGACGGCGGUAGAGCCUCAGCUAGACAUAUUAACUUUCAAAGUCUGAAGGCCAAGCAAGGGACUGGCUUACUUAUUAGUAUGUCGUUAAUUCUCAUGAAUCCAAUCGUCUUCUAAUUAAUUUUUCUCUUCAUGUAUCUUUAAUAUGGCUUGCAAAUUAAACUUGAUAUUGCUAAUGUUCUUCUCA